rnacentral:rRNA from 1 species
AGUGAACGCUGGCGGCAGGCCUAACACAUGCAAGUCGAGCGGCAGCGCGGGGGCAACCCUGGCGGCGAGCGGCGGACGGGUGAGGAAUUCGUCGGAAUCUGCCUUUUUGUGGGGGAUAACGUAGGGAAACUUACGCUAAUACCGCAUACGUCCUACGGGAGAAAGUGGGGGACCGCAAGGCCUCACGCAGAAAGAUGAGCCGACGACCGAUUAGCUAGUUGGUGGGGUAAAGGCCCACCAAGGCGACGAUCGGUAGCUGGUCUGAGAGGAUGAUCAGCCACACUGGGACUGAGACACGGCCCAGACUCCUACGGGAGGCAGCAGUGGGGAAUAUUGGACAAUGGGCGCAAGCCUGAUCCAGCCACGCCGCGUGUGUGAAGAAGGCCUUCGGGUUGUAAAGCACUUUUGUCCGGAAAGAAAUCCCUGGAGCUAAUACCUUCGGGGGAUGACGGUACCGGAAGAAUAAGCACCGGCUAACUUCGUG